AUUGAACGCUGGCGGCAGGCCUAACACAUGCAAGUCGAGCGGAUGAGAGGAGCUUACUUCUUGAUUCAGCGGCGGACGGGUGAGUAAUGCCUAGGAAUCUGCCUGGUAGUGGGGGACAACGUUUCGAAAGGAACGCUAAUACCGCAUACGUCCUACGGGAGAAAGCAGGGGACCUUCGGGCCUUGCGCUGUCAGAUGAGCCUAGGUCGGAUUAGCUAGUUGGUGAGGUAAUGGCUCACCAAGGCGACGAUCCGUAACUGGUCUGAGAGGAUGAUCAGUCACGCUGGAACUGAGACACGGUCCAGACUCCUACGGGAGGCAGCAGUGGGGAAUAUUGGACAAUGGGCGAAAGCCUGAUCCAACCAUGCCGCGUGUGUGAAGAAGGUCUUCGGAUUGUAAAGCACUUUAAGUUGGGAGGAAGGGUUGUAGAUUAAUACUCUGCAAUUUUGACGUUACCAACAGAAUAAGCACCGGCUAACUCUGUGCCAGCCGCCGCGGUAACAC
rnacentral:rRNA from 1 species